UCUCAUACAUAUAAAGGAAAGACGGUGUCUGCAUUAUACAAGAAGAACCUUAUCUGGAACCUCUGUUGUAUCAUUAUUUUCCUGAAUCACCCUGAUUUUUAAGAUGAAGACGUGUGUCUUGCUUCUUCUGUUGUGCUUUCUUUCGCUGGGAGUUGUCGAUACUGUUGUCGGAUGUUCGAGGAAUUGCCAUUAUACGCAAUGCACUAGAAGUUGUAGAAGUAGAGGGCGCCGUGUUGGGUUUUGUAUUCCUUGUAUCUUUAGAAAAGGGCGGAGAAGGUGCAUUUGCCUUUAGAAAUAAAUUCAUUGGCGUAUGACAUAUGAAGAUUAUUCACUUCAAGAAACACCAAAAUACUUUGUGUUUAUAAAUUGAAAUUAAUAAAUAUAGGAAGGAUAAA